CUGUGGUAAUCAAAAUAUGGAAGACGGGAAAUCAAACAUUUUUGCCCUAAUUCUGUGCUUUUAACUAAUUUCUGUUUAAUUGAUGCAGUUUCUAAGUUAAUCUUUAAUUUUAAAACAACCGUGAAUAAAGAAAACUAUAGUGAUUGUGUGAUAUACCUAAGCUAUGUGAAAAAACUUCAACCAAAUUAAAUUCGGAAGCAGCUACCAUGGACGAUGAUAUAGAUAUUGAGGAGCACGAUGUGCUGGAUAACCCUCGGAUCAAGAGUAUGUUCCCCGACCUCUCCCGGGUGAAGAUCGAGAUACCUGAGGAAGAAGAAAUUGACGAAACAUAUAACCAUGAGGAAUUACAACUGAAAACGGAAGAACCUCAAGAAAUGCUAUAUCAAAACGAAUACAGUUUUGAGACGAUGCCAGAAGAUGUUGGAGAAACCGGAGAAAAUGAAGAAUAUGAGGAAGAUAAUGAAUAUUUUUAUAAUAACCAGAUUAUAUUAGGGUCCAAACCGCCGAUAGACCCAGAGGUCCUAUACCAAGAAGCCUUAGAAUCUAACCCAAUAGUUUAUCUAGAAAAUUGGGAAGAAAGACUGAAAUCCAGCCCGUGUUACUGCGAAACGUGUGCUAUCCUAUUCCCAACGGUCAACGCUUUAGAUGCACAUAAAAUGAUAAGCCACUCCUAUCUGGUAGCUCUGGACAGCCCGAUGAAAAACACAGCCAGGAAGAGUACGGUACCUUCUAAAUAUUGUAACCACUGUUCUAAUACUUUCCCCGAUGAUACAUCUCUGAUAAAACAUUUAUAUGAAUUACUACCAUUGAAUAACUUCCCAAAAAACAAAGAAGAUAAAGCUGAGCCGGAUGUGAUAAGAAAAGUACCCUCGACUAGCUCUGUACCCUGGCCAAAAAAGGUCAAAGGCAUACCUCAGGCGUUCCCAAAAGUUGUCCCGAAGAAAAUUAAAGUUGAAAAAGAAGUCUCAAUUGAGCCAGAAGUCAAAACUGAAGUCGAAACAAAGUCUAAAUAUGGCAAUAGGGAUGGCAAAUUUUUCGCGGCGUCCUCCUUAGUGCCUCAAAGUACGCUUUUUCAGUGUAAAAUAUGUCAAGUUGCGUUUGUUUCCUGUUUUUCUGCGCUACAACACUCCAGGUCUUGCGAAAAGUCAGCGCCAUUCGAAAAGUGUAGCGUUUGCAAGCGUAAAAUACGCCCAAAAGAUGCAAAGUUACAUAAGUUACAACAUAACUACAAUGAUAAGUUAAAAAUUUACACCGUCACAAAAAAUACGUAUUAUCAAAUUUUGUGUAAGUGCCCUAAAUGCUUGGCCUGUUUUGAUGAGCUAGGGUUUUGGGCUCAUUAUCCAAAAUGUAAAAGAGAGAAGAAAAUUACCUACUGUUCAGAUUGCGACUUAAAUAUCGCCACAAUAAGAUACCAAAACCACUGCUUAAAACAUACAGUGAAAAAGUUUACGAAAAAAGAUUUUAUUCUCAUAGAAUUUCAUGAUUUAAAAGCUAAAAAGUCUUCCGACGUUGUGUCGACAAAAACUCAAGAAGAGGUCAAAAGUUUGAUAAAAAAGACUCGGGAAGCCAAAAAUGAUAGUGAAAAAGCCGAGAAUGGGAUAACCCUAUAUUACUGCGAGUUCUGCGGCUGUUGCCAAUGUAAGCUAACGUACAAAGGUCAUGAGAACGGUCUGUGCAAAGAAAAGAUUGCUUCACAAAAAAAAUACUGCGACAAAUGUGGUUUAAGUUUCAGCACUAAGAGUUACGUCUCACAUCUAAAUUUACAUGAAAAAUAUUCCUUCAAGCUACAAGAUAUAAAAAUCAUCAGUUUGACAACGGGCAAAGAAAUCGACCCACCGAUGCCAGAAUUGUACAAAUGUAAGGAUUGUACCAAACAUUUUUUGUACCGCCAACAGAAACGGUCACACAAAUGUAAGACAGAAAAAUUCACAACGUGCAAGAUUUGUGCAAAAAAAUUUAAUCUACAGGCAUAUAAGAUACACAAGCUAUUUCAUAAGGCUGAUAAAUUGAUCCCGGAGUUAUUAAAAAAAUACAACUCGAUUCAAAGUACUUGGAAUAUAAUGUAUAUGUGUGCAACCUGUAAUUUGGUUACGAUGACAUAUGAUUCUGCAAUCACCCAUGCGCAAGGCCACUUGAAUUACCUAAUCAGUGAUUUUCCGAUCACGUGUAAAGUCUGCGAGCUGAAAAUAGCUGAGAAAGAGUUUGGGUUACACGACAAAUUGCACAGCAAUAAUGAGAGUAUCAAUAGAGAGUCGUUCAAGAUAUUAAACUACAGUUAUGAAAAUCUGUUUAAGACGGAUUGGUUGACGAUGUUCGAUGAGUUGCCGGAGCAAGAUAGGCAGCAGAUCUUGUCGCAGAGUAUUUAUAGAUACACGCGCAGCACACAAUAAACCAUUAUUGCAACUGAGGCGCGGGCGCAGUGGUGGACCCCCACCCCCUCUGCCCUACUCCGCUCCUUUGUACGCGCGUUUGUACCGCUUCAAAUGCGCGUAUACGCGCUUCAUGCGCGCGUUUCUAUUAUCAAUGCAAACGCAACAAUUAGCGUUUACAGCGCCGAAGAAGCGCGUUCCUGAAACGCGCGUUAUCAGCGCAUUUAAAAAACGCCGUGUGCUAUGGGCCUUAGCGCUUUAAUUCUAUCCAUUGCCGCUCUAUGGUGUUGGGAUGUACUUUGCACCGAACGUUAUUUGAGCCUGGUACUGGGAUCCACAGGGAUAUAAACAGUCCCCGCCGUAAAUUGUCGACUGUGGUUGACGCUGGAAUGUCCACGCAUACUAAGUCUCAGGUGCUUGCCCUAGUAUGCCCGGUGCUGGUCGGUACAUAAUGUACGCGUUUUGUCUAACAUUUUGCUGGAUUAUUGGUUCUAAUGUGGCCCUAUUUUUGUUCUGUAUUAGCUCCACGUGUAUUUUUUUUGUGAGUCGGCUUAUGCAACCAAAUGACCAUGUUUGCCUCUGCAAUAAUCGACCGCUGUGGUAUUUAUUCGUGUACAGGUGGGUUUCGUCGACCACCACUAUGGCGUUGUCCCCGCCGAUCAUAUCGCGGUCAUGAGCUUCGGCCACCUCGCCAACUAGAGACCCCCAUUUCGUAGUCUGUCCCGCUGGCCACCGAGUUUUUGGAGCGCAGGAACCUUCCAUGCGCAUCCCUCUGCGGCUGCGAAGCAGUUGCCUUUCUUGAGGCGGCCGUUGCCGACGUCCACUUGGCGGCUGGCAGGCCUUCCUCAUCGGAGGACAAGCCUGCUGCUGACCCAGCCUCCAGGGCAGGGUCGCGUGGGCGUUUCUCAAGUAUCCUCCCGCCUCCAUUUUUCUUUUUACCGCUGCCAGUAACAUUAUCGGCAACAGGGGCCUGGUCGCCUACCCCUGCGCGUUCAUCGGUAACCAAUUUAACACUCGAAAGCCCGGAUACUUGCGAGCGCCGGGCGUCAGCGGGGUCGCAUGACAAAUCACAUUCAAUAUCGGACAUUUUCAUUAUUACGAUUUGAGUGAUUACGCACAUCACUCGCCCAAGACAAUAUGUACGCGCUUGCGUGGACAAAUAAAAAUGCGAAUGCACAACUUAUUACUGGUUUAUAUUAUCAAAACUUUACAAUUAAUUAUUCACACGAGAUUAGAUUAUUGAAUUUAGACUGCAGAGAUGCGUUGGAUCCGUUACGUAUUGGCAAAGUUGUUGAUCUCGACGGCCCGUGAAGGCAAGUGGACGAGCGCCGCUCUCGACGCCUCCGUCGUCGCCCCUUCUCCAGCGCGCCGGCGUCCCCGUGGCGGCCUCCCGUUGGAUGACGCAGGGCGCAGUUCGAAUCGCCGCCUGCGAUUGGCUCGCGCGCAGGUGGCGUGAUGCGCGGCGGGCACCUCGGUGUUGCCAGGGAGCGCGUCCCGCGCUUCCCCAGCAUUUUGCCCCGCCGCCCGACUGUGUUGCCAGGCGGCGCAGGCCGUAACACAAUACAUUGAAAAAAAAAAAAACUUUAUUAUAAAUGAUUCCAUUGAUUAUACAUUGGUUGGUGAUGCGGCCGUUCUUUUCGGGAGGGUAUUUGGUCCUCCCGAGGCCAACGGGUGCCCCUAGUGCAGGAUAUACCGCCCGCUGUUCGGUGUAACUAAAAGCUACUUAAACCUUAUUUUUUUUUUUUGUAUUUUGAUCUCCUUCCCAUAGUCGUUUUGAUACGUUACGUUCAUCGGUUUGAUUACUUGCAUACACCAGUUUGCAGUAAUC
rnacentral:misc_RNA from 1 species